rnacentral:rRNA from 1 species
AGUGAAUAGAUACCCCGGUAGUCCACGCCCUAAACGAUGUCUACUAGUUGUUGGUGGAGUAAAAUCCAUGAGUAAACGCAGCUAAACGCGUGAAGUAGACCGCCUGGGGAGUACGGUCGCAAGAUUAAAACUCAAAUGAAUUGACGGGGGGCCCGCACAAGCGGUGGAUUAUGUGGAUUAAUUCGAUGCAACGCGAAAAACCUUACCUGGCCUUGACAUGUAGCGAACUUAGCAGAGAUGCUUUGGUGCCCGAAAGGGAGCGCUAACACAGGUGCUGCAUGGCUGUCGUCAGCUCGUGUCGUGAGAUGUUGGGUUAAGUCCCGCAACGAGCGCAACCCUUGCCAUUAAUUGCCAUCAUUUAGUUGGGCACUUUAAUGGGACUGCCGGUGACAAACCGGAGGAAGGUGGGGAUGACGUCAAGUCCUCAUGGCCCUUAUGGCCAGGGCUUCACACGUAAUACAAUGUCGGUACAGAGGGUUGCCAACCCGCGAGGGGAGGCCAAUCCCAGAAAGCCGAUCGUAGUCCGGAUUGUAGUCUGCAAC